CGGGAAGUAGCACAGCUUGGUAGUGCACCUGGUUUGGGACCAGGGGGUCGCAGGUU
rfam:Kandleria vitulina DSM 20405 Scaffold137, whole genome shotgun sequence.